AGUAAACAACGUUUCAUGGGUAUAGCCAAAAAAACAUGAGUCGGACGCCUGCCUACCCGCUCGCCCGUCCCCACGCCCCAAUCCCUUUUUUGGCCCAAUCGAAAUUGACGGCGGCCGCCGCACCGCUCGCCACCGCCGCUGAUGCCAACCUCCCACAAGUCACUGUUGUUUCCUCCUAUGGCGCGCCGCUCCCGACCAAUCCGGCGAGGCCUGCGUGCCACCUCCCGACUCUUCCCUUCCCUGGUCUGGAGCACAAGCCUCCUUUCCCUCCACCCCGAUCUGGCAGUAGCGGCAGGAGCUAGGCCACCGGCGACGAGGCUAAUUUGUCCGGCAGUAGCUGUUGUUAUUCCACAACCAAUUAUACUUCUACUCCAUCCCAUGGACUGGCCUGACUGUGGCUGGUAGGAGGGAGGCGUGCGGUCAUGACCCUGGCGCGCUGGGCCGGGGUCUAACUGGGCGGGCGUGUGUUAUCGCUGCCAGGCAACUAUACGGGCGUCGCAGGGCGUGUUGCAGCUUCAGGAUUCUGCUAGGAGCUCCUGGGAUGUGCUCAUGCAUGCUUGGUUGGAACCUUGUCUUUUUGGUCAAUGGAUGAAUCAAUGGCGUGUCAGGACUAACUAGGUCAUACGUGCACCUCACUAUCUACGGAUGGCUCUCUCGUCGUAUCUGCACAACAUGAGAACAAUUUGAUCAAUGAAGAUGGGUUUCUUUCCUACCGGUGCCAUUGUAUGUGCCUGCACGCCUCAACUAUCUUCUUUCCUGUUUACUGUCAGCAGGGGAACUAUUUGUGGAUGUAAUAUGCAGCUAAAGGUAUUCCAGCAUGAGCUUGCAUGCGCAACAACAGUGAUUAAAGUAAAGGCUUCAGGACUUGAGGUAAAGUACGCCCAUAGCUCAACCUGAUUCUCUUAGUACAGAACUACAGAUAACCUGAUUCUCUCAGUACAUAUAACUUGAUUAUUAUCUUUCCAUCGAGCAACAAUGGAGUAGCACUACUCACAACCAACUGCAGAAAUCCCAUGUGCCAAAAAUCCCGUGUGCCAAAAACCUCGUUGCAACUGGAGAUCCGCAUGCGCUGCUGGACAUGCUAUGCUACUCGAUUUGACCCAAUCUACUUCAGCCGUGACUCCGUGAUUGAUUUUAGUGGUGCACUGGGAGGAGACAAACAAGAGAGCAAAAGCACAAUAAGAAAAGCGAUGUUAUGAGGAAAACAGAAAGGAAAUAAACAAAAAAAUUGAUCCCCUGAGUAUGUAUAUGAGAGAUAUAUGUACGUCUGGGUUGUGCUGCUGACUCAGGAGAAGUUCAGUGAUCUAGGUCAAGGUGAUUUAUAGUUGAUAAAUUUGGUACCCAAAGCACUGACAUGAUCAGCGCACUGGCUGUCCUGAUUGCCAUAGAACAUGUGCAUUAAAGUUACUCCAAUUGCAGUGCACGACUCUUUGAGAAAAACCAUAAGCAAUUGAGUUCUUCAUCUGUAGUCAUGCCGAAUUAGUGUGAAAUAUACAAACUUUUUCAAUAUUAUUUUGCAGCUGUACCAUUGAUUAUUUGUUAAUGUGCCUUUUUGCAGUGGAAACAGUCUUUGAAACAAGCAGCAUACGAUUGCUACAACCCAAUUAUCUUAGAUUCUACCUUUGUCUGAUGUUCUUAACCUUUAUAUUCUUCCUAGAUUCUACCUUUGUCUGAUGUUCUUAACCUUUAUAUGCUUCCUUACAGAGAAAUCCUUGGAACUUGAGAAGCCAAGGUAUGGUGAGAGCAGAUGAUUAUUACUUCGCUUUGGCCCAGCAUCGUCUUUACGUAUCAAUAUUAGAGCGUUGUGUUAUUCCAUCAUGUUACAUUACUAUUGCAUUCAUAUUUUUGUGAGUAGCUACCCCUUUCUAUAGUUUUACCAUUUUUUUAUCCAUGCAUUUUGACGUAUUAAUUUUUUGGGUGAUGCACUACAUGUUAUGUUAUUUCUAUGCCUAAGUGCUACAUUAAAAAUGUCGCAAGAUUUGAUGGUAUGUAAUAUAAAUUACCUUCGUGAUAUUCAUUAUUAAUUGUAUGAAAUUAUAUAGAGGAACA